GUUGAGUUUUGACAAGGGGUUUGACAUGUAGAAAGGUUUAGAAGGAAUUAAGUGAUCUGGGUUUUUGGUAGUCGGGUGGCUUGAGGUGGGUUUGGUGAGAUUUUUGAGGGUGGGAUCCAUGGAUGACGGAUUGGGAGGCGGUUCUGGGGAUGCUAAGAUGCGCCUGCGGGUGGUUUGGUGUGCCAUAGUACUAUUUUUGGAGUGUGUUGCAGGUGAGGGGGAUGAGGAAUAUGGAGAUGAAGAAGAUGGGGUGAAAAGUAUUUGGCUUUGUGCCUGUCUGGUGUAGUUAUGGGAGAUGGGAU
rnacentral:misc_RNA from 1 species